rnacentral:rRNA from 1 species
UACGUAGGGUGCAAGCGUUGUCCGGAAUUAUUGGGCGUAAAGAGCUCGUAGGCGGUUCACUAAGUCGGGUGUGAAACCUCCAGGCUCAACCUGGAGACGCCACCUGAUACUGGUGUGACUAGAGUCCGGUAGGGGAGUGUGGAACUCCUGGUGUAGCGGUGAAAUGCGCAGAUAUCAGGAAGAACACCAGCGGCGAAGGCGGCACUCUGGGCCGGUACUGACGCUGAGGAGCGAAAGCGUGGGGAGCAAACAGG